GAUGAAGAACGCAGUGAAAUGCGAUAAGUAAUGUGAAUUGCAGAAUUCCGUGAAUCAUCGAAUCUUUGAACGCACAUUGCGCCCCCUGGUAUUCCGGGGGGCAUGCCUGUCCGAGCGUCAUUGCAACCCUCAAGCGCGGCUUGUGUGUUGGGCUUCGUCCCCCCGUGGACGUGCCCGAAAGGCAGUGGCGGCGUCCCGAAUGGUGCCCGAGCGUAUGGGAACUCUCUUCCGCUCGAACCGGCCCAUUCGGCGCUGGUCGAACCCCAAUUUUUUACCGGUUGACCUCGGAUCAGGUAGGGAUACCCGCUGAACUUAAGCAUAUCAAUAAGCGGAGGA
rnacentral:misc_RNA from 1 species